AAAAAUGUGUUAUAAGCUCAGCUCAACCUGCGGAAGCUGUAUAAUAAAUAAAAUAAAAGAAUAAAAAAUGAAAAAGAAAUAAAGUGAAGCUCGUACAGCGGAUAUAUACCUGUAGAAACGGUACCCACUAAUAUUUACGACGAUCCACACGCGAUCUGUAGAAGCUGAGACAGCGCGAAUUGUGAACGGAAGAAAGAAUGACCGUACGAACGGAUGAAAGAAGGAAGGAAGGAAGGAAGGAAGGAAAGAGAAGCGAAUGAGUUCCUGGGACGUAAGCCAGCUUCGGAAAUGUUGGAUACGACAGGAAUUGAAUUGACGGCUACACCGUUAUACCGAGGGCCGUGCAAGAAAGCAGAUUCUUCUGGGGCGCGAUGCAACAACUCUUCCAACAGAUCGUAAAAUCAAUCGUCUCUCAAUCUAUACCUAGACAACGGCUAUUUGUUCGUACCUCUCUAAAUUGAAACGGUAGACGUCCCGUU